CCCAUUUGAGCAAUGGGGGGACGCAGGAGGAUAGGGUAAGCGCGGUAUUGGAUAUCCGCGUCCAAGCAGUUAGGCUGGGAAAUAGGCAAAUCCGUUUCCCAUAAGGCUGAGCUGUGAUGGCGAGCGAAAUAUAGUAGCGAAGUUCCUGAUUCCACACUGCCAAGAAAAGCCUCUAGCGAGGUGAGAGGUGCCCGUACCGCAAACCGACACAGGUAGGCGAGGAGAGAAUCCUAAGGUGAUCGAGAGAACUCUCGUUAAGGAACUCGGCAAAAUGACCCCGUAACUUCGGGAGAAGGGGUGCUCUGUUAGGGUGCAAGCCCGAGAGAGCCGCAGUGAAUAGGCCCAGGCGACUGUUUAGCAAAAACACAGGUCUCUGCGAAGCCGUAAGGCGAAGUAUAGGGGCUGACGCCUGCCCGGUGCUGGAAGGUUAAGAGGAGCGCUUAGCGUAAGCGAAGGUGCGAAUUGAAGCCCCAGUAAACGGCGGCCGUAACAAUAACGGUCCUAAGGUAGCGAAAUUCCUUGUCGGGUAAGUUCCGACCCGCACGAAAGGCGCAACGAUCUGGGCACUGUCUCAACGAGAGACUCGGUGAAAUUAUAGUACCUGUGAAGAUGCAGGUUACCCGCGACAGGACGGAAAGACCCCGUGGAGCUUUACUGCAGCCUGAUAUUGAAUGUUGGUACAGCUUGUACAGGAUAGGUAGGAGCCUUGGAAACCGGAGCGCCAGCUUUGGUGGAGGCAUCGGUGGGAUACUACCCUGGCUGUAUUGACCUUCUAACCCGCCGCCCUUAUCGGGCGGGGAGACAGUGUCAGGUGGGCAGUUUGACUGGGGCGGUCGCCUCCUAAAAGGUAACGGAGGCGCCCAAAGGUUCCCUCAGAAUGGUUGGAAAUCAUUCGCAGAGUGUAAAGGCACAAGGGAGCUUGACUGCGAGACCUACAAGUCGAGCAGGGACGAAAGUCGGGCUUAGUGAUCCGGUGGUUCCGCAUGGAAGGGCCAUCGCUCAACGGAUAAAAGCUACCCCGGGGAUAACAGGCUUAUCUCCCCCAAGAGUCCACAUCGACGGGGAGGUUUGGCACCUCGAUGUCGGCUCAUCGCAUCCUGGGGCUGUAGUCGGUCCCAAGGGUUGGGCUGUUCGCCCAUUAAAGCGGUACGCGAGCUGGGUUCAGAACGUCGUGAGACAGUUCGGUCCCUAUCCGUCGCGGGCGCAGGAAAUUUGAGAGGAGCUGUCCUUAGUACGAGAGGACCGGGAUGGACGCACCGCUAGUGUACCAGUUGUUCUGCCAAGGGCAUCGCUGGGUAGCUAUGUGCGGACGGGAUAAGUGCUGAAAGCAUCUAAGCAUGAAGCCCCCCUCAAGAUGAGAUUUCCCAUUCCGCAAGGAAGUAAGAUCCCUGAAAGAUGAUCAGGUUGAUAGGUCUGAGGUGGAAGUGUGGCGACACAUGGAGCUGACAGAUACUAAUCGAUCGAGGACUUAACC
rnacentral:rRNA from 1 species